rnacentral:rRNA from 1 species
AACGAACGCUGGCGGCAGGCCUAACACAUGCAAGUCGAGCGAGGACUUCGGUUCUAGCGGCGGACGGGUGAGUAACGCGUGGGAAUGUGCCCUUCUCUACGGAAUAGCCCUGGGAAACUGGGAGUAAUACCGUAUACGCCCUAUUGGGGAAAGAUUUAUCGGAGAAGGAUCAGCCCGCGUUGGAUUAGGUAGUUGGUGGGGUAAUGGCCUACCAAGCCGACGAUCCAUAGCUGGUUUGAGAGGAUGAUCAGCCACACUGGGACUGAGACACGGCCCAGACUCCUACGGGAGGCAGCAGUGGGGAAUCUUAGACAAUGGGGGCAACCCUGAUCUAGCCAUGCCGCGUGAGUGAUGAAGGCCUUAGGGUUGUAAAGCUCUUUCAGCUGGGAUGAUAAUGACGGUACCAGCAGAAGAAGCCCCGGCUAACUCCGUG